UAAAUGAGGCCGGAAGCAACGAAGAACAAUUCCGGUAAAUCCCCAUAUGCAUAUUUUGGUUAUGGUACUGUUCUGCCCUGAACAAAAUUUUAGGGGUGUUAAACAUGCAAAGUGAUGCCACCAUGUUAAACUAGGCAUUUUUCUACCCCAUUUACAUAUAAAGUUUAUUAAAUUCCGAGUUACGGUUAUUUAGUUAUGAAUUAAACCAUUUUAGCACGUUAUUUAAGCAAAUUUAAACAAACAACAUAUUAAACAUUUUAAACAUGGAUGAAAAAGACUUAUUAUGAAACUAGAUGAAAAACUAAGCAAGUAUCAUAUACAAAGUUUUUACAUGUGAUGCUCCGUUUGUGAGAUAUUAAAUGCAUGAAGUUUAGGGGCUGAUCUGCAAAAGUGCAACUCCCUGAAAAAAAAACAGGAAAACGCUCUAUGUAAAAAAAAUGAUACGGCCCGGAUCUGGUUGGCCCAUUAGAGGAAAGGACAGGAGCUGCUAACAUCGGGCCAAGCACAGUCGGUCGAGGAGUGGGCCGGCUUGAGCUGGGGUCAACAGGCGAAGAGGAGGCGCUAGGCCGCGCGAGCGAAGCAAAGGGAGGGGGUCGAGGCUCGGUCAACACGGGCAGGACUCGUCGAUUGACGCGCUCGCUACUACUCGACAGGAAGCAGAGCCGCGGCGGCACGGCUGCUCGCCGGAGACGAAGGAAGGGAGGCGGAGACGGCGGAUCUGGACGGAGGGGGGCAGAUGCAGGUGAAGAAGCUCCAGGCGGAGAAGGAUCCAUGGGGCGGCGGCGUCCUUGGACGGGCGGCGGCCAUGCUUCAGUCCCUGACAGAGAGAAACAGGAGAGGGGAGUGAGUGGUCAGGAGAGACAAUCAGAGGGAGGAGGAGAGGAAACAGGGCGGCGGCUACUCAUCUCCGACGAGGUCGGAGCUCCGGCGAGGCCUGGUGGCCGGAGCAACAACGUGAGGCGGCGGGGUCAAUCUGGAUCGGGAGGAGCUCGGGCACGGGCAUGAGGGCGGCGGAGGAGCAGUGGCUUGCGGGGGCUCCUCUCCUCUCGAUGGAGCUUGGGAAUGAGGGCAUGGGGAGUAGCGGGGAGAUGCCUGGGUUCAACUCCGGCAAGGGGAGUCGCGGAUUGGAGCUUAGGACGGUCGGCGCGCGAUGAGCUCCUGCAGGACACGGGCACAAGAAAAGGGUCAGUGAGGAAGAGAGGGAAAGAGAAGAAAGAGCAGGGGCGCACAGUGAGGCGUUUGUCCCUGGUUCGUUCGAAGAGAUGAGGCGCUGGGGUCGGCCGAUGCUCCGCUCGGUGGUACUCUGGCCGGGGCUCUCGGGAGGAGGAGGUUGCGGGAUUGGGUGGAUCGAGGGGAGGAGAAUGUUGGACUGGUGCUGAAAACGAGGGAGUUAGUCGAGAUCGACUGGGAAUGGGUGGAUGGCUCUGGGAGGAUCCCGAUGAAGAGAGUGGCGGCGGCGAGGAGGAGGAUUGGUGGAUUGGACAGGAUAGGCUAGGGUUUGACUGGUUAUUUAUAGUAUUGGAUUUUUGGUUAGGGACUAUCUGAAGCCUCCGAUCAAAAUCGGACGGUCACAAAUAAAAUAGCUAGGGAGUCCAAAUAAGAAAACGGUGACAUUUUGUAGAUGUUUGGGGAUGUUCCGGACACAACGGUGGCGACAAUCCGAGUCGGGUCCGGGACAGCUUUUCGGACACGCGUGCGAGGAGGGCCGCGGGCUGACAAGAGGGGUUAGGUAGGGCAUGAGGGUGUGUAGUGAAAUGUGAAGACGGUCUAGGGAGGAAAAGAGAGGGAAAGUCCGGCAAUAGUUUUCGGAGACCGAAAACGUCCGACGUUAGACCGGCUAUACUGCCGCUAUAGUUAUCCGUUGGGGCAACAGACGAUCUUCGAAUGCGAUGAAACUUGACAGGCGGUCUAUCUACACGAUAAUAAGACCACACAACAACUUUCAUUCCAUUCCAAGAACAUUUUCCGGCCACAUAUAAAAUACUAUUUCGGACUUGCCGCGGGCGCGUGCAAGUGUGUCUCGGCUUAGAACGAACAACGGACGGAACUGGGAGACCCGGACUAAUGCAAGUUUUGAAAAACAUGAUGAUGCAAUGCACAUGAUGACAUGGCAAGAUGCAACACGCAAGCAGAUGACAAGGCCACACCAGCGAAUAACUGGAGGACACCUGGCACAUCGGUCUCGGGGCGUCACAACACUCCACCACUACGAGAGGAUCUCGUCCCGAGAUCUAGAAUGGCACCGGAGAGAAAACGGAAGAGACAGAGAAGAGGUAAAACUAAGUUGCUUCUUUGACCAAUGAGUGAAACCAAAGAACCUUGCAAAGGUUAAGCCAUUUCGAGAAAAGAAUACGACGGAGAUGAACAAAGUUGAAAACACUCUGUUAGAAAAGAGGAACAAGGAAGAACAACUUCGGGCAGCACUCCGAUUGAAAAGAAAAGGAAUUGAAUAAGAACUUGAUAAGAUUAGAAGAUACUUGAUGAAAUCACAAUACACUGCCUCCGUAACUAUUGAAUGAAUGGAACAAGGGGUAGGAAAGAUCUCAGACCACACUCCGGUUGAAAAGAGAUGCAAAGCUUGAUAAGGCGAAGAAAACUUGAGCCAAAAGGCACACCUCCGGUUAAAUUGAUAAGCACGAAAAGAACAUGCUCUUGACAAGAGCAAGAAGAAGGUUUGAAGAGAGCAGCAACACAAUGCCUCCGGCAGAAAGAAAUAGAAGAUAGAUAAUUGAAAUAAAAGAAUGUUGAAGAAAAUGCCAACUUCUACCACAAAAGAGUUUGAAAAAGGCAUCUUAAGGAGAAGGGUCGAACGGAGUUAUUGGAAAGCCAACAACGAAAGAAUAAACUUGAUAUGGUCUUAUGGAGUACAUCUCAAAUUGUGAGGUGACAACCUGCCACUCACGGGAAAAGAAUUGUAUUAAUAUGAACAAGGAGACGAGAAAGUAUAUCGCACUGGAAAGGAUAAAUGAAGAAAUUGGAUCAUUGAUAAACACCAUGAGAGCGACAAUCCUUAAAAGAAAGCUUUAGGUGAAAUAUAACCCAAGAUAAUUCCAAUGAAGAAAAUGAUGGAUUUAAAAUAUCUCAUCCUUGACAACAUGUGAAUCAUGAAACAUGAACUGAAAUUAUCAAGAAUGGCAUAAUACCACCUCCAAUAAUAUGAUAGAAAGAAUGCACUCCGGAUUACAAUAUGAAGAAAGCUUGAGUUUCUUAGAAAAGAAUCUUGAUGAACACUUCAAGAAGAAAUUAAAUCCUUUAUGAACCAACAUGUAGAACCUUCCCGAAGAACUCCGUUAAACAAAAGAAUGCUCAAACGGAAGGAAAGAGAAGUUGAAAAACACAAGGUGAAACCUUGCAAUGAUUAGAUGGACCUUCGAGAUGAUAUAUUUGAGAGAGCUUGGAACUCCGGAAAAGAAAAGAUGAAACGAUAGAAACCGAGAAUUUGGUGAACCUCCGGAAUAAGGAAUUAAAUCACUUGGAUGAAACAAUAAUAAGAAUUACAUUAUGCUUAUCCUUCACCAAUUCAAAUUGAUGACAAGCAAUGGAUUUUUGGCAUACUACUUAUUCUCGUAGAAAGGAUUAAGAUAGAUAUAGCACAAACUUGGGAAGAUCUUCAACGAACCACCGUAAGAAUUGAAACAACGAAUAAAUUGAUAUGAUAAAUGAAGGAAGAAGAAUCUUGAGCGAACCACCGUAAGAAUUAAAAAUGAACAAAGAAUAGAUAAGGAAGACACCGGGAAGAAUUAGUAAAUAAACGAAGAUGCUUGAGAGAAUUUAGAUACAUGAGAACGAAGAGAUCGCGAGCUGGUAAGAGAAAACUUGAAUGAUGCACCGGUAAGAUUGGAGGAUGACCACUGAAAGCUGAGAAUGAAUAAACCUAAAUUGAUGGACUCCAGAUAAUCAAACUGAGGAGACCCUUGAAUUGCUUCAGAUGGGUGAAAAGAAUUCUCACGAUCGAAAACAAUUAUGAGAGGAUGGCAUAAGGCUAGCAUCAUGAAUUUUGAGAGAACGGAUAAGAUUGAGGAGAAACUCUUCUUCGGUCUUCAAAAGUUGGAAAAGACGAUGAGUAACACCACCGUGAAUUGUUGAGACACUCCGGAAUAAAGAAGAAUAGAAAAGUUGAACCAAUGAUGAAAACAAUUUGGAAGAUCUUGGAGAAAGACAUUUGACUGAUGAUAAAUCAUUCUUACGUCAAACUUCGAAAAGAAAUUGAGAAUAACACCGGAAAAAUAAGAAGAGUUAGGUAAGAUCCUGGAAAAAAGACCUGUGGGUUAGGGCCCACUCAAGAGAAACACCGUUGAAAUGAUUUAAAAGAGAGAAUGCACCGGUUGAAUUAAAUGGCUUAAAUAAGAUAACACCUCGAAAUAGGUUGAACAGAUCUUGAAUGACAAGACGAGCCUUUUGAGAAAGCUUGAGCACGCCGGAACAAAUGAAUAGUGAGACGUGAAUUAUUAUGAGGUGCACCGGUAUGAGACGACAUUGAAAUGAGGAAAGGGUAAGAUCACCAAAGCUUGACUUGAAACCACCGGAGAAGAUAAAAGAAACGAAGAAUGAUGAACUAGAAGCUCCGUUAGUAUCUUCAUGAGAAUCACCGGAUACGAACAUUGAAGGAAAAGAAUGGAAAGGCUUCACAUCAAUAAGAUGGAUACUCGAUUAAGAAAUCUGAGUCCUUAAAGAAAAAGGGUGGGUGGGUGGGAAAAAACAAAGUCAACUUGGAACGGAUGAAGGCAACACCGUUGAGAAGAACUGAUACUUGAUCUUGCUAAUAUUGAAAUGAUCGGAUCCACUUGAAGAGAGACACGCCGGUUAAAAAGGAUUGACAUGACACUAUCGAUUAUCAUGAAGUAUUAAUAUCCACAUAGGAAUAUGAGAACACCGUUUAGAGAAGGUAUGGAAUCAACAUUUGACUUCGAAGCAACUCAAAUACCACAACUCAAAACAAAAACAAAGGGUUGGUUUGCAGGAUAAGCCAGAACAAACAUAUGAUAGAGAUUUCGUCCGAAGUUUUCAUGGUGGGGCCUACACGGGCUCGAUCGUACAGCACCAUCAUGUACAAGGCAGUGCACAUGACAUACGAAGCGUCCCCGAGUCGGCAUAGCCAAGGACUCUUUAAGACACAAUGAGACCACUGUAAAACCGACCGUGGAUAGGCGGACCACUAGACGUCAAACCCCAAUUUCAUAUCAUACAUCUGUCGGAAAGAUAUCCUAAGAGCUACUUGAUUUCCCACCUAUGAAACUCCCGAACCUUUCCGGUUAUGCAAUCAGGUGUUGGGGAUACAGGGGAAGCAUAAUAUCUCACCCAAAACUAGCAAAUCCUACAUCCAGUUGUAUCCAUCCUUAACACAUAACCAAAAACCUUUGGAAAUCACCUACCUCAACCUUCGAAAAGCAUCCGUUAUACAAGUUAUGGCGAUACUCCCGAACUCCCGCCCCAGUACUGGGUGGCGUCGAGGUUAUCUCACCAACGAACUGCAUAAAAGAGAUUUUCGAUGUCGGCGUACUAAACUCAGGUAUUCCAGAACUGCAAUGAUAAAAUUGUGACGACAACACCUCGGAGCUCAACUCCCCGGGACACUGCCACAACCCCUAAAUGACAGGAGGCACCAAGAACAAUGUUCUCGUCACAAAACCAUCGAAACUAUUCCAAAAUACCCGCGUGAUCCUAAAAAAAUUUAGUGAAAUUUGAGAGGAGAAGAGUCAAAACUCUACGUCAGGAUGCCUUACCAGAGCAAUGAGGAGACUGGGGAGUAAAAAGAAAUCCUAAACUCUCCGAUAUAUAAUUCCUAAAUGACUCAAAACAUUUUUCUAGACUCAACAGCGGCAGCUAAUUCGAUCAAGCAAUGGGGCUCCUAAGGUCGGGGAAGGCUCUGAUUACCAACUUGUAACGCCCUCGAUGCGGCUAUAUCUCCCACGUAUCGAAGCACGACUUAUAGGCAUAACCGCAUUGAAAGCAAUGUCGCAAGUGAGGUAAUCUUCGCAAACAACCCAUGUAAUACAAUAAGGGAAAAGAUACAUAGUUGGCUUACAAUCGUCACUUCACACAAAUACAUGAAUAAAGCAUUACAUCAACCAGAUACACACAAGGUCCGACUACGGAACCAAAAUAAAAGAAGAACCCCAAAUGCGACAAGGUCCCCGAUCGACCCCAACUGGGCUCCACUACUGAUCAACUAGAACAAAACAACACAAAGGACAAGAUCUUCAUCGAGCUCCUCCUGAGCUUGGUUGCGUCAUCUGCAAGGACUCAUCGGCACCUGCAAACUAGUUUGGAAGUAUCUGUGAGUCACCGGGACACAGCAAUCUCGCACCCUCGCGAUCAAGACUAUUUAAGCUUAUGGGAAAGGAAAAAGGUAUGAGGUGGAGCUGCAGCAAGCGACUAGCAUAUAUGGUGGCUAACAUACGCAAAUGAGAGCGAGAAGAGAAGGCAAAGCACGGUCGAUUAAAGUAUGAUCAAGAAGUGAUCCUAGAACAACCUACGUCAAGCAUAACUCCAACACCGUGUUCACUUCCCGGACCCCGCCGAGAAGAGACCAUCACGGGUACACACGCGGUUGAUGUAUUUUAAUUAAGGUCAACUUCAGAUUUUCUACAACCGGACGUUAACAAAUUCCCAUCUGCCCAUAACCACGGGCAGGGCUUUCGAAAGUUCAAAUCCCUGCAGGGGAGUCCCAACUUAGCCCAUGACAAGCUCUCACGGUCAACGAAGGAAUAGACCUCCUCCCGAGACAUUCUGAUCAGACUCGGUAUCCCGGUUCUACAAGACACUUUGACAAGUUAAAACAAAUCCAGCAACACCGCCCGAAUGUGCCGACAAAUCCCGAUAGGAGCUGCACAUAUCUUGUCUCAGGGCACACUCAGAUGAGCUCUCCAUACAACUAAAACCAAACAUCGAGUUUCCCCAAGGGGGCACUGCAUAGGACUCUAGUUUGGACCAACACUCAGAGGAGAACUAGCCCGGGGGGGUUUAAAUAAAGAUGACCCUUGAGUCCGCGGAACCCAAGGGAAAAAAGGCUAGGUGGCAAAUGGUAAAACCAAUGUUGGGCAUUGCUGGAAGAGUUUUAUUCAAGGCGAACUGUCAAGGGGUUCCCAUUAUUACCCAACCGCGUAAGGAACGCAAAAUCCGGAAACAUAACACCGAUAUGACGGAAACUAGGGCAGCAAGAGUGAAACAAAACACCAGGCAUAAGGCCGAGCCUUCCACCCUUUACCAAGUAUAUAGAUGCAUUAAUUAAAUAAGAGAUAUUGUGAUAUCCCAACAAGUAAACAGGUUCCAACAAGGAACAACAUCUCCAUGUUCCAACAAGGAACAAACUUCAAUCUUCACCUGCAACUAACAACGCUAUAAGAGGGGCCGAGCAAAGCGGUAACAUAGCCAAACAACGGUUUGCUAGGACAAGGUGGGUUAGAGGCUUGGUUUAACAAUAUGGGAGGCAUGAUAAGCAAGUGGUAGGUAUCGCAGCAUAGGCAUAGCAAAAGAGCGAGCAACUAGCAAGCAAAGAUAGAAGUGAUUUCGAGGGUAUGGUCAUCUUUCCUGAGAUCCCGCAAGGAAGAAGAACGAGUCCAUGAAGAAGUUAAACGGACGUAGUCGACCGAAUCCUCACACACACGAUGUUAAUGGAACCAACCCGAAGAAGCAACACCGGAAAGAAGCAAACAACAUAGUAAAACAACCACCACAUAAACAUGGCAUGAUGCACAAUCAAGCAUGAUGCAUGUCCGGUUUAAAGAGGCAUGGCAUGGCAAAAUGCACAAACAAACCCUACAAAUUAAGUGGAGCUCAAUAUGCAACGGGAUGCAUAUUGAUGGAACACCACAACAAUUAUUUAGUUCGAUCUCGUUUAUGUACCCAACAAUAUUAAAUGUUGUUAGCAUGGCAAGAGUUGAAGCAAAGUAAAACUAUCUAUCUAGUCAAGUUUAACUGAGGCCGGAAGCAACGAACAACAAUUCCGGUAAAUCCCCAUAUGCAUAUUUUGGUUAUGGUACUGUUCUGCCCUGAACAAAAUUUUAGGGGUGUUAAACAUGCAAAGUGAUGCCACCAUGUUAAACUAGGCAUUUUUCUACCCCAUUUACAUAUAAAGUUUAUUAAAUUCCGAGUUGCGGUUAUUUAGUUAUGAAUUAAACCAUUUUAGCACGUUAUUUAAGCAAAUUUAAACAAACAGCAUAUUAAACAUUUUAAACAUGGAUGAAAAAGACAUUAUGAAACUAGAUGAAAAACUAAGAAAGUUUCAUAUACAAAGUUUUUACAUGUGAUGCUCCGUUUGUGAGAUAUUAAAUGCAUGAAGUUUAGGGGCUGAUCUGCAAAAGUGCAACUCCCUGAAAAAAAUAGGAAAACGCUCUAUGUAAAAAAAUGAUACGGGCCGGAUCUGGUUGGCCCAUUAGAGGAAAGGACAGGAGCUGCUCACAUCGGGCCAAGCACAGUCGGUGGAGGAGUGGGCCGGCUUGAGCUGGGGUCAACGAGCGAAGAGGAGGCACUGGGCCGCGCGAGCGAAGCAAAGGGAGGGGGUCGAGGCUCGGUCAACACGGGCAGGACUCGUCGAUUGACGCGCUCGCUACUACUCGACAGGAAGCUGAGCCGCGGCGGUACGGCUGCUCGCCAGAGACGAAGGAAGGGAGGCGGAGACGGCGGAUCUGGACGGAGGGGGGGGAUGCAGGUAAAGAAGCUCCAGGCGGAGAAGGAUCCAUGGGGCGGCGACGUCCUUGGACGGGCGGCAGCCAUGCUUCGGUCCCUGACAGAGAGAAACAGGAGAGGGGAGUGAGUGGUCAGGGGAGACAAUCAGAGGGAGGAGGAGAGGAAACAGGGUGGCGGCUACUCAUCUCCGACGAGGUCGGAGCUCCGGCGAGGUCGGAGCUCCGGCGAGGCCUGGUGGCCGGAGCAGCGACUUGAGGUGGCGGGGUCGAUCUGGAUCGGGAGGAGCUCGGGUACGGGCACGAGGGCAGCGGCGGAGCAGUGGCUUGCGGGGGCUCCUCUCCUCUCGAUGGAGCUUGGGAACGAGGGCACGGGGAGUAGCGGGGAGGUGCCUGGGUUCAACUCCGGCAAGGGGAGUCGUGGAUUGGAGCUCGGGACGGUCGGCGCGUGAUGAGCUCCUGCAGGACACGGGCACGACAAAAGGGUCAGGGAGGAAGAGAGGGAAAGAGAAGAAAGAGCAGGGGCGCACGGCGAGGCAUUCGUCCCAGGUUCGUUCGAAUAGACAAGGCGCUUGGGUCGGCCGACGCUCUGCUCGGUGGUACUCUGGCCGGGGCUCUCGGGAGGAGGAGGUUGCGGGAUUGGGUGGAUCGAGGGGAGGAGAAUGUUGGACCGGUGCUGAAAACGAGGGAGUUGGUCGGGAUCGACUGGGAAUGGGUGGAUGGCUCUGGGAGGAUCCCGAUGAAGAGAGUGGCAGCGGUGAGGAGGAGGAUUGGUGGAUUGGACAAGAUAGGCUAGGGCUUGACUGGUU
rnacentral:lncRNA from 1 species